rnacentral:lncRNA from 1 species
AAUAGUCAAACAAAUUAGCAAUAAAGCCACCAAGAGAGUACUUUCAACCCUAAUGCAGAGUUGUCUCAGUUUAUCAGUUUUCUGUCAAUCAGUAAAAUAAGAAAGAUGAAACAUGCAAUUACAUACAAGGAGACAGAACUAAUUGUUAUACUGUAACUGAAGAGGAAGAGUUUUAAUUGCUUGAAAAAAAUAAGAUUUUUCUCUU